GAGCGAGGGAGCAGGCUGGGCUCCGGCAGUUGGUCGGUAUGUAGCAGCAGCGGAGCUUCUGCCGGGGAUUACAAAGAGGUAAAAACGCGCCUUGGAUAGAAAAUAUCACCAACUGGAUUAAAAUAAGACCACCCGAGGAUGCGACGCACACCUUCCGCCUGAAGGAGAAUAAAAAACACGCCGAUAUUCCGCUGAUUUAUCACAGUUUUUUACGAAAAUGGCGAACGACUCCCCGGCCAAAAGUCUGGUGGAUAUAGACCUCGCAUCCCUCAGGGAUCCUGCUGGGAUUUUCGAGUUGGUGGAAGUGGUUGGAAAUGGCACCUAUGGACAAGUCUACAAGUGGUAUGUGAGGAUUUCUCUGGAGCCUUCCUGUUUUUCUACAAGGGAAACUCCAGUGUCGGAUCGUGCACUGUAGAUGAAGCCUGCCUGUCCGCUGAGAGCUUCUUAUUAAAGUAAACGUUGGUCCUGUUUACCUUUCAGAUCGGAGGAUGUAAAACAUCAGCAGCAGGGUCCUCUGCACUGCUGUCUUCUCUUGUCUUGCAUCCAUGCUGUACUUUUUUCCCCAGGGAAAAAAUGCCCAAGUUGAAACUCCAUUCUUAAAUUACUGUUGGUGAAUAACCCUCAACAUAAAUGCUGCUGAUGCAGAUCACACAGGUGUUUGUUUUUUGUUGACUUCACAGGAAGCCAUUGAAGAGAAGCAAGACUUGGUGUGAUAUGAUAACUACUUUUUAGUUUUGAUUAACAGCUGUGCAGCAGCAUUUUGUGUUAGCUGCAUGCAGGAAACGUUCAUAUUUUGGAGGUUGUUUGUCACAACUAAUGAUUGUAUUGUGGAUUAAUAACUCUAUCUAGAGUUC